rnacentral:rRNA from 1 species
GACGAACGCUGGCGGCGUGCUUAACACAUGCCAGUCGAGCGGGAAGUCCCUUUCGGGGGUACUCGAGCGGCGAACGGGUGAGUAACACGUGCGUAAUCUGCCCUUCACUUGGGGAUAACUACCGGAAACGGGGGCGAAUACCCGAUAUGACCAAUGCCUGCAUGGUUUGUUGGGGGAAGGCUUUUUCGGGGGCGGUUGUGCGCGCGGCCUAUCAUCCUGUUGGUGGGGUAAUGGUCUACCAAGGCUGCGACGGUUAGCCGGCCUGAGAGGGUGGCCGGCCACACUGGGGCUGAGACACGGCCCAUACUCCUUCGGGAGGCAGAAGUGUGGAAUAUUGGACAAUGGGCGAAAGCAUGAACCAGCAACGCCGCAUGAGGGAUGACGGCCUUCGGGUUGUAAACCUCUUUCAGCGGGGACGAAGCGCCGGUAAUGGUGGUGACGGUACCCGCAGAAGAAGCACCGGCCAACUACGUGCCAGCCGCCGCCGUAAAAC